rnacentral:rRNA from 1 species
CGGCGGACGGGUGAGUAACGCGUGGGUAACCUGCCUCAUACAGGGGGAGUAACAGUUAGAAAUGGCUGCUAAUACCGCAUAAGCACACAGCUUCGCAUGGAGCAGUGUGAAAAAACUCCGGUGGUAUGAGAUGGACCCGCGUCUGAUUAGCUAGUUGGUAAGGUAACGGCUUACCAAGGCGACGAUCAGUAGCCGACCUGAGAGGGUGACCGGCCACAUUGGGACUGAGACACGGCCCAAACUCCUACGGGAGGCAGCAUG